UUGCGCCCCCGAUAGAAGCGGUUACCCCACAGCGAGCUGAAAGCGAGCGAGGAGUAAAAGCGGAUAGCGGGAAAAGGC
rnacentral:misc_RNA from 1 species